CCUACGGGAGGCAGCAGUGAGGAAUAUUGGUCAAUGGGCGCGAGCCUGAACCAGCCAAGUCGCGUGAGGGCAGACGGCCCUACGGGUUGUAAACCUCUUUUGCCGGGGAGCAACGGGCGCCACGUGUGGCGCCCCUGAGAGUACCCGGAGACAAAGCCUCGGCUAACUCCUUGCCAGCAGCCGCGGUAAUACGGAGGAUGCGAGCGUUAUCCGGAUUUAUUGGGUUUCAAGGGUGCGUAGGCGGAGCGUUAAGUCAGUGGUCAAAUUGAGGGGCUCAACCCCUUCCCGCCAUUGAAACUGGCGCUCUUGAGUGGAAGAGAAGUAUGCGGAAUGCGUGGUGGAGCGGUGAAAUGCAUAGAUAGCACGCAGAACCCCGAUUGCGAAGGCAGCAUGCCGGAUUCCGACUGACGCUGAAGCACGAAAGCGUGGGGAUCGAACAGGAUUAGAUACCCUUGUAGUC
rnacentral:rRNA from 1 species